CCUACGGGAGGCAGCAGUGGGGAAUAUUGCACAAUGGGGGAAACCCUGAUGCAGCGACGCCGCGUGAGCGAUGAAGUAUUUCGGGAUGUAAAGCUCUAUCAGCAGGGAAGAAAAUGACGGUACCUGACUAAGAAGCCCCGGCUAACUACGUGCCAGCAGCCGCGGUAAUACGUAGGGGGCAAGCGUUAUCCGGAUUUACUGGGUGGAAAGGGAGCGUAGACGGUCCUGCAAGCCAGAUGUGAAAGCCCGGGGCUCAACCCCGGGACUGCAUUUGGAACUGGAAGGCUAGAGUGUCGGAGAGGCAGGCGGAAUUCCUAGUGUAGCGGUGAAAUGCGUAGAUAUUAGGAGGAACACCAGUGGCGAAGGCGGCCUGCUGGACGAUGACUGACGUUGAGGCUCGAAAGCGUGGGGAGCAAACAGGAUUAGAUACCCUUGUAGUC
rnacentral:rRNA from 1 species